rnacentral:rRNA from 1 species
CCCUUAGAUGUUCUGGGCAGCACGCGCGCUACAAUGGUCUUCGCAAACGGAUGCAUUCUCGAAGGAGAAUGCCAAUCUUGGAAUCUAUGCCUUGGUCGGGACAGUUGCUUGCAAUUUUUCGACUCGAACCAGGAAUUCCUUGUAAUCGUGAUUCAUCACAUCACGAUGAAUACGUCCCUGCCCUUUGUAGACACCGCCCGUCGCUCCUACCGAUCGAAGAGUUAGGUGAAUUGUUUUGAUCGAUAAGAUUUGACUAUGGUCAACUCUCGUUGUGAAAUUCUGUGAAUCUGACUGUUUAGAGGAAGGAAAAGUCGUAACA